UGGCGGACGGGUGAGUAACACGUGGGAAUCUGCCUUUAGAUGGGGGAUAACUGACCGAAAGGUUAGCUAAUACCGCAUAUGCCGCAAGGUAAAAGGAGCAAUCCGUCUGAAGAUGAGCCCGCGUCCGAUUAGCUAGUUGGUAGGGUAAAAGCCUACCAAGGCUACGAUCGGUAGCUGGUCUGAGAGGAUGAUCAGCCACAAUGGGACUGAGACACGGCCCAU
rnacentral:rRNA from 1 species